UACAGAGGGUGCGAGCGUUGUUCGGAAUUAUUGGGCGUAAAGGGCGCGUAGGCGGUGCGGUAAGUCACCUGUGAAAUCUCCUGGCUCAACUGGGAGCUUGCAGGGGAAACUGCCGUGCUGGAGUGUGGGAGAGGUGCGUGGAAUUCCCGGUGUAGCGGUGAAAUGCGUAGAUAUCGGGAGGAAUACCGGUGGUGUAGACGGCUCUCUGGACCGUAACUGACACUGAGACACGAAAGCGUGGGUAGCAAACAGG
rnacentral:rRNA from 1 species